ACACCCACGUGUGUGUUAGCCUGGGUCCCCUGCCAGGCCUUCCCGCUCCCUCUCUCGAGGCCUCAUCUGCCUCAGGGGCUGAACUGGCUGCUCCUCCCGCGGCCAUGUCCUCCUCAGAGAGGCUCCGUCAUUGCCUGCGAUCACACAGCCGAACCUUCUGUCUUCUGUGCAGUGCUGGAAGCAUUCUGUGUGCCUCCUGGAGCCACCAGAGGAAAAGCAGCCCAGCUGACACCUUGACGUUAGCCCAGUGAGAUCCA